rnacentral:rRNA from 1 species
GCAACGGAUAUCUCGGCUCUCGCAUCGAUGAAGAACGUAGCGAAAUGCGAUACCUGGUGUGAAUUGCAGAAUCCCGCGAACCAUCGAGUCUUUGAACGCAAGUUGCGCCCGAGGCCACUCGGCCGAGGGCACGCCUGCCUGGCGCUCA